CAAUAGCGUAUAUUAAAGUUGUUGCAGUUAAAAAGCUCGUAGUUGGAUUUCUGGUAGGAGUGACCGUUCCGAACUUGAUUGUUCGUGUAUUGUGUUUUCUCCAGCCAUCCUUGUGGAGAACUUUUCUUGCAUUAAUUUGUAGGGAUUGGGACCCGCAUCGUUUACUGUGAAAAAAUUAGAGUGUUUAAAGCAGGCAAUCGCUUGAAUACAUUAGCAUGGAAUAAUAAGAUAGGACUUUGGUACUAUUUUGUUGGUUUGCAUACCAAAUUAAUGAUCAACAGGAACAGUUUUAGGAUAUUCGUAUGAACAUGUCAGAGGUGAAAUUCUUGGAUUUUGAUCAGACGAACUACUGCGAAAGCAUUUAUCAAGGAUGUUUNCAUUAA
rnacentral:rRNA from 1 species